GGCGAUUGGCGGAUCAUAUAAUGUCAGUCGAGCGGACGAGUGGAGCUUGUAUUUUGUUCAGCGGCGGUCGGGUGAGUUAUGCCUAGGAUCUGCCUGGUAGUGGGGGACAACGUUUCGAAAGGAACGCUAAUACCGCAUACGUCCUAUGCGAUUCAGUGGGGUAUCUUCGGACCUCACGCUAUCAAAUGAGCCUUGGUCGGAUUAGCUAGUUGGUGAGGGGAGGCUCACCAAGGCGACGAUCCGACUUUGGUGUGAGAGGAUGAUCGGUCACAUUGGAUCUGAGCCAUGAUCAAACUCUCUACGGGAGGCAGCAGUGGGGAAUAUUGGACAAUGGGCGAAAGCCUGAUCCAGCCAUGCCGCGUGUGUGAAGAAGGUCUUCGGAUUGUAAAGCACUUUAAGUUGGGAGGAAGGGCAGUAAGUUAAUACCUUGCUGUUUUGACGUUACCAACAGAAUAAGCACCGGCUAACUUCGUGCCAGCAGCCGCGGUAAUACGAAGGGGUGCAAGCGUUAAUCGGAAUUACUGGGCGUAAAGCGCGCGUAGGUGGUUCGUUAAGUUGGAUGUGAAAGCCCCGGGCUCAACCUGGGAACUGCAUCCAAAACUGGCGAGCUAGAGUAUGGCAGAGGGUGGGUGGAAUUUCCUGUGUAGCGGUGAAAUGCGUAGAUAUAGGAAGGAACACCAGUGGCGAAGGCGACCACCUGGGCUAAUACUGACACUGAGGUGCGAAAGCGUGGGGAGCAAACAGGAUUAGAUACCCUGGUAGUCCACGCCGUAAACGAUGUCGACUAGCCGUUGGGAUCCUUGAGAUCUAAGUGGCGCAGCUAACGCAUUAGGUCGACCGCCUGGGGAGUACGGCCGCAAGUUAAAACUCAAAUGAAUUGGACGGGGGCCCGCACAAGCGGUGGAGCAGUGGUUUAAUUCGAAGCAACGCGAAGAAACCUUACCAGGCCUUGACAUGCAAGAGAACUUUCCAGAGGAUGAUUGGGUGCUUUCGGAAACUUUGACACAGGUCUGGCAUGGCUUUCGGUCAGCUCGUGUCGGGAGAGGUGGAUAGUCCGUACCAGGGCCCAACUCUUUGUUCUAGUACCAGACGAGGUAAGGGUGGGCACUCUAAGGGAGACGCUGCCGGUGUAACAAACCUGGGAGAAGGGUUGGAUAACGUAAGGCUCACUAUGUUCUUUAGCGCUGGCUACACGUGCUCUAAUGGUCGGUACCAAGGUGGGUUCCCGCAAGGCUCUGCGGAGGAGGGAGCA
rnacentral:rRNA from 2 species